AGGGCCUGACGGCCAUAAAAGCAGCCAGUAGAGGCCGUUGUCCAAGAAGAGCAGCUUGGGGUGCAGAGAGGGGAGGUCCCCAAACCUCAAAGGCGUGUGGGCGGAAGAUCAAUGCAGUCAGGUCCAGAGGGGUGUGUGCCAGGGGCAGGAGCGAGGCGGUGCUGCUCGGGGUGGACACGGAGCUGUGACGACGCUGAAUCCCUCGUCCAGGCAGCCCGGCCUUGUCAGCUCGCCAUGGCUUCGAGGACGCACAUUCCUCGCCCUCUCUGGCAGCGACCCCCUGGGUCCCGACACAGCCACCCUCAUGUUCACUUGAAGUGAAAAAAGAUGUUUGGUGAAAUAACUGCAGCCUGGAGCCAAACAACUAACACCAUCUUUACUUUUGUUUAUUGUAAUAAAAUGUGUUAAUGAAAAAGUGCAAAGAUAGAUAAUAGAAAUUAAUGUAC